rnacentral:rRNA from 1 species
GUGCCUAACACAUGCAAGUCGAACGAGAAAGUGGAGCAAUCCAUGAGUAAAGUGGCGACCGGGUGAGUAACACGUGACUAACCUACCUUCGAGUGGGGGAUAACCUCGGGAAACCGAGGCUAAUACCGCAUAACAUCGCAAGAUCAAAGCAGCAAUGCGCUGGAAGAGGGGGUCGCGGCUGAUUAGCUAGUUGGCGGGGUAACGGCCCACCAAGGCGAAGAUCGGUAGCCGGCCUGAGAGGGCGCACGGCCACACUGGAACUGAAACACGGUCCAG